GAUGAACGCUGGCGGCGUGCCUAAUACAUGCAGGUCGAGCGAACAGACGAGGAGCUUGCUCCUCUGACGUUAGCGGCGGACGGGUGAGUAACACGUGGAUAACCUACCUAUAAGACUGGGAUAACUUCGGGAAACCGGAGCUAAUACCGGAUAAUAUAUUGAACCGCAUGGUUCAAUAGUGAAAGACGGUUUUGCUGUCACUUAUAGAUGGAUCCGCGCCGCAUUAGCUAGUUGGUAAGGUAACGGCUUACCAAGGCGACGAUGCGUAGCCGACCUGAGAGGGUGAUCGGCCACACUGGAACUGAGACACGGUCCAGACUCCUACGGGAGGCAGCAGUAGGGAAUCUUCCGCAAUGGGCGAAAGCCUGACGGAGCAACGCCGCGUGAGUGAUGAAGGUCUUCGGAUCGUAAAACUCUGCUAUUAGGGAAGAACAAAUGUGUAAGUAACUAUGCACGUCUUGACGGUACCUAAUCAGAAAGCCACGGCUAACUACGUG
rnacentral:rRNA from 1 species